UUAUGGAGUAAGUCCAUAAAAAAACGUGUGUAAAAAAUUGUGUAAAAAUAGUGAUACGAAUCCACCCAUUAUAUAUAUACACACACAUUACUCUUGAGUAUGAGGUAGGCUAGGCAAUUUUUGACAUGAUCCAUUAACCCAACACGAAACAACACAAAAUUAACAGGUUUUCCUCGGGUAACUUGAUAAUCACAUGCUAAGAUAAUGGGUGGGUCCUGAUAUACACGUGGAUAACCCGUUACACGAUAAGAAAAAUAUUAAUUUAAUAAUUUUAUACCACAAAAAAAUACUAUAAUUAAUAGCAGUAAGAAUUUAAUCCCGAACUGAACUGAAAGUUAAAAUAUAAAUGUGUGUGUAUAAUAUUUAUAUAUUUAAAUUAAAUUUUGAAAAUUAAUGAUCGUUAGAUUGGUUGAGAUUUAAUCUCGACCGUCCAAUAUUUUUCUCAACCCUAUAUUAGAUUAUCUCUCGUCAAUAUAACUCUUGAAGACAAUAAAUUAAGCCAAAAUUCCAAUAAUGAUCGAUAAAAAUUGAAGGAUUUUGUAAAAAGAACAAAGUGCAAUCUUUGAGUUUCAUCGAACAUCACUAUUUUGAUAGCCCAACAUUCACUAUUUCACCGGCCAAACACCCUUCUUCUCCCCCGUUUCCCAACCUUCCUACCACACUCCGUCUCUUCUUCGACAACCCCACAGCACUCCGCCUCUUCUCGGGCGACCCCAACCCUCUCCGUCUCUUCUCUAGCCACUCAUCCUCAAUCCCCUCUUCUCCGAUGACCCACCCCCGCUCCGUCUCCUUUUCGGCGAUCCAUCCGCAUUCUAUAUCUUUUCCGAAUCCACCCCCACUUGGUAAAAUUGGGUUUUGAAAAUCCUCGAGAUUAGAGCUCGUGAAAGAUCACAAGAUUGGAAGUUUGAAAUUGUUUAUUCAGAAUUGUAGACUAUGAUGAGAGAAAGAGAAGGAGAUGCAUGGAGGAAAGUGGUGGAAGGGGUGGGCUUCCGGCUGGCAAUGACGACUAUGGAGAGGACAUUCCGGUGAAGGUUGGUGAGGGAGAAGAAGGAUGUUUGGAUAUUAAAAUAGUGACCGUUUUUGGCAACUAGUUUUAGUUAGGUGUGUGAGUUAAAAAGGACACGUGUCGUUAAUUGAUAAGAUGGUCAGUGUGUUAGGUACUCCCUAGGGAGUACCCAAGUAUUAUCCCAAACGUGUGCACAAAGCGUCAGGGCCUCCAGCCAACUCUCAACUCUCUCUCAAGUUUCAGGAUUAUCCAUUCAACCAAAAUGCAUUGAGGCUGAGGACAAGAGAUGUGUUGCUUCAAACUUCCGUAUUCCUGUGGGCCUGUGGCUGUGGGCGCACAUCUCACCCUUAAUCACUUGCAAGAGCCGUGUUAAAUUUAUGCAUGCAUGCCCCAGUUGACGAAUUUUUCUCUCUAAUUCUAACACCGUCAUUUGACCAAAUGAAAAACACCGUCAUAGAUGAUGUCAAUCAACUACCAUACAACUGACAUGCUUUAUAUUUAGGAAAUUUAUUAGAAUUUUAUAAUUUCACUUAGUACUAUAUAUAUAGUUUAAUGAUAUUUCUCUUUAUUUGAAAGUAAAAGUCUUAAGUUUUAAUAAUCUCGUAGUAAUGAUAAGUUCGAAAUCAAUUAAUUCUCUCACAUCUUAGUACAACCACACAGCUAUAAAUAGUCUGUUGCUACUAAAUAAGUAAAUAAAUACACACACAUACAUAUAUAUAUAUAUAUGAUAUAUAGGUUAGGGAUUUGGAUUCCAUCCAGAUCUAAAUUGUGGGAAUCAUAAGGAUCCGCACAUCCUAACCGUUCAUCGUACAUCAUGAUUUCAGAAAUAAUUUUGAAUUUUUAUUUAAAAUAAACAUAAAUAGUACCUAACAAAAACUAACCGUACGAUAUACGAUGAACGGCUAGGAUGUGAGAAUCCUUAGGAUCCCCACAAAGACGGUAUAAAGAGGGUCCUCAUCCAUAGGUUAGGAACAAGGACACUUAUUUUUUUUAUACACAUUUGUAGGGCUCAUUUCGUAAUGUAUUUCACCAAUUCAAUCGUCUAUUUUUUAGAUCUUACCUCAAAGAUCAUGGUAUACAAAAAUCACUAUAGUCCGAACCAUAUGACCCUUUAUAUAAAUGAUAGUAAUUUUAUUAAUGUUUCUUUGUAGAACUUUAUUCGUUUUUUUUUUUAUUAACUACAAAUGAUGUUUUAAUGGUUUUGGAUUUAUCUAAAUUUUUAUAUAAAUGAUCUAUAAAUGAUGAAUUGAAAUAUAAACAAUUAGAAUUGUUGAAUAAAAUUACGGUAUAAGCAAUCCAAAAUAAGUGUCGAAAUGUAUACCUAAAAUUGAUUGUCCCUCGAUGCUAUAUACAUAUAGUGAGAAACAAGAGUUCAUAGCUGACACAUUUUGGGAAAAGUCAUUACUUGCAUCUAAUGGCGAAGCCACAUGAGG
rnacentral:lncRNA from 1 species